rnacentral:rRNA from 1 species
UACGGAGGAUCCGAGCGUUAUCCGGAUUUAUUGGGUUUAAAGGGAGCGUAGGUGGAUUGUUAAGUCAGUUGUGAAAGUUUGCGGCUCAACCGUAAAAUUGCAGUUGAAACUGGCAGUCUUGAGUACAGUAGAGGUGGGCGGAAUUCGUGGUGUAGCGGUGAAAUGCUUAGAUAUCACGAAGAACUCCGAUUGCGAAGGCAGCUCACUAGACUGCAACUGACACUGAUGCUCGAAAGUGUGGGUACCAAACAGG